rnacentral:rRNA from 1 species
AUUGAACGCUGGCGGCAGGCUUAACACAUGCAAGUCGAAAGAGAGGCGGAGGGGUGAGUAAAGCUUGGGAAUAGGGCUGAUGGAGGGGGAUAACUAGGGGAAAGUGGAGAUAAUACCGCGUACGAUAGGAGGAGACCAAGUGGGAUGAGGUAGUUGGUGAGGUAAAUGAUCACCCUGCCGCCGAUCUCUAGCUGGUCUGAGAGGAUGACCAGCCACCCUGGGACUGAGACACGGCCCAGACUCCUACGGGAGGCAGCAGUGGGGAAUAUUGCGCAAUGGGGGCAACCUGACGCAGCCAUGCCGCGUGAAUGAAGAAGGCCUUCGGGUUGUAAAGUUCUGUCGGUAGCGAGGCGUUAACUACAGAAGAAGCACCGGCUAACUCCGUGCCAGCAGCCGCGGUAAUAC